rnacentral:lncRNA from 1 species
AGGAGUCAAUAGUUAGAAAAUAUUAAUGGAGGACUCAAGUUGUUUCAAUUUCCAAUUUGUUUUUUGGGAAAGUUUAGGUGGCCGCAUUUAUAGGAUUGGUAGAUCAAGAGCAGGAAAAAAAAGUUGAAAAUUGCCUUGCUGAUCAACCACGUGAAUCUAGUAACUGAAGCCCAUUCUGCUAGGUAGGCAUUUCAUUUCUAGCAAGCGGUAUGUUCAGUAAUACACCAGUUAGCAGUAGAAUUUCUGCUAAGAAGUUAAUGUUGGCUAUAAAUGCUGAAAAAGAUAUAGAAAUUUUUUUUUUCUUUUUUUUUUAAACUGAAAAUGAUUUAGAAAUUUUCGUCAUUUUGGGCUUCGGUUUGUUUAAAAUUUUUAAGAAAGUGUUAUAACAACUUUGUCUGGGUUAUGAAUAUAUUUAUAAGAGCUAGAACUUUUUUGCAGAUAUGGAACGAGAAUUUACAUAUAAUUGAUGGGAAACAAAAGAGGCUUAUGUGAUCACUCUGUUCGUAACCGAGCUGCGAAUUUCUCAAUUUUAUCAGUGC